rnacentral:rRNA from 1 species
GACGAACGCUGGCGGCGUGCUUAACACAUGCAAGUCGAACGGAAAGGCCCUGCUUUUGUGGGGUGCUCGAGUGGCGAACGGGUGAGUAACACGUGAGUAACCUGCCCUUGACUUUGGGAUAACUUCAGGAAACUGGGGCUAAUACCGGAUAGGAGCUCCUGCUGCAUGGUGGGGGUUGGAAAGUUUCGGCGGUUGGGGAUGGACUCGCGGCUUAUCAGCUUGUUGGUGGGGUAGUGGCUUACCAAGGCUUUGACGGGUAGCCGGCCUGAGAGGGUGACCGGCCACAUUGGGACUGAGAUACGGCCCAGACUCCUACGGGAGGCAGCAGUGGGGAAUAUUGCACAAUGGGCGGAAGCCUGAUGCAGCAACGCCGCGUGCGGGAUGACGGCCUUCGGGUUGUAAACCGCUUUCGCCUGUGACGAAGCGUGAGUGACGGUAAUGGGUAAAGAAGCACCGGCUAACUACGUGCCAGCAGCCGCGGUGAUACGUAGGGUGCGAGCGUUGUCCGGAUUUAUUGGGCGUAAAGGGCUCGUAGGUGGUUGAUCGCGUCGGAAGUGUAAUCUUGGGGCUUAACCCUGAGCGUGCUUUCGAUACGGGUUGACUUGAGGAAGGUAGGGGAGAAUGGAGUUCCUGGUGGAGCGGUGGAAUGCGCAGAUAUCAGGAGGAACGCCAGUGGCGAAGGCGGUUCUCUGGGCCUUUCCUGACGCUGAGGAGCGAAAGCGUGGGGAGCGAACAGGCUUAGAUACCCUGGUAGUCCACGCUGUAAACGGUGGGUACUAGGUGUGGGGUCCAUUCCACGGGUUCCGUGCCGUAGCUAACGCUUUAAGUACCCCGCCUGGGGAGUACGGCCGCAAGGCUAAAACUCAAAGGAAUUGACGGGGCCCCGCACAAGCGGCGGAGCAUGCGGAUUAAUUCGAUGCAACGCGUAGAACCUUACCUGGGUUUGACAUGGAUCGGGAGUGCUCAGAGAUGGGUGUGCCUCUUUUGGGGUCGGUUCACAGGUGGUGCAUGGCUGUCGUCAGCUCGUGUCGUGAGAUGUUGGGUUAAGUCCCGCAACGAGCGCAACCCUUGUUCACUGUUGCCAGCACGUUAUGGUGGGGACUCAGUGGAGACCGCCGGGGUCAACUCGGAGGAAGGUGGGGAUGACGUCAAGUCAUCAUGCCCCUUAUGUCCAGGGCUUCACGCAUGCUACAAUGGCUGGUACAGAGAGUGGCGAGCCUGUGAGGGUGAGCGAAUCUCGGAAAGCCGGUCUCAGUUCGGAUUGGGGUCUGCAACUCGACCUCAUGAAGUCGGAGUCGCUAGUAAUCGCAGAUCAGCAACGCUGCGGUGAAUACGUUCCCGGGGCU